rnacentral:sRNA from 2 species
CGCCCCGUCAUUGGGGAGUAGCCUCUCCUCCACCUCCGGAGGAGGCAUAUGUCAACACACUUGGCCCACAGGCCAUGGCAUAUGCGGUCCCAUACUUGGCAAGACCUUUGACCACAGCGCCGCCGAUUUUAGGCCGGGGGCGUGCUGUGGUCAUUCGUCCGUGCCCGGCCUGGAUU